ensembl:antisense Gm29018 predicted gene 29018
UGCCUUAUAAGCUAUUCUUUACAUUUCUCUUGGUUUUAUUUUAGUUUUAUGUGUGUGUAUAGAUUUAUCAUCCUUAAGAAAGACAUUUAAGGGGUCUCUCUUCCUAGGCGAGAUCUAGAACAUUAGUGAAGUAACUAGAGCUCCCACAAGUGCAGCUGCUUUCAAGUCAGCAGUCAACACUCUCCGUUGCUAGCUGUUUUAAUUUCACUAGCCUUCAUCUCACACCAUCUCAUCUUCAUGGCUUCAAGGAAUUCUGGGACAAGAGGACGCGGAGUUGGUGAGAAAAUUAAUCCAAGGAGCAUGAUUUCAACAGAAGUUGCUACUCCAGGAAGCAGCAUCCCAAGCUCAAGGACCGGCAUCAGAGAGAUGACAGAAGGGAGCCCAGGGCUGCGAAGCUUGGCGUUAGCUAUACAACUGCAAGCAACGAGGAAAGCAAGAAACGUAUCUGUAUUGGAAUAUGUGAUGGCCUAUGUCUUUAAAAUUAUGUAUAUCUUUACAAAACUCCAAGGAAAUUUGUAAUGUACAGUGACAUUGAACCUUUUUAUAAAGUACCUUUACUAAUAAGAGCACAAAUCUACAAGCUCUCUAAUGACUAGUCUAAGUUUCUCCUAAAAUAUUAACUCUCUAUUAGUAAAUAAUAAUUAAUUUAACUUGUAGCGGUAAACUACUGCCCAACUAUUACAGAGAAAUUGUAAAACAUAAAAAUAUCAACGCAGUAGGACUAGCAUUUCAGGGUUGUGAUCUUAGUAAAUGUUUUAUCUGAGACAGAAAUCCUUUAUUUCUUGAUCAAAAUGUAUACAUUAGAUUAUAUAUCUAAAUUUCAAACGAAGUAUUAAUAUCAAAAUGCAUUUAAAAACCACUGCAGCCCAACAAGACAAAAAGUACAAUUUAAAAACUGUCCAAAGGUUUGAAUAAAUAUUUAUCC